UACUCUUCCAUUAAGCUAGUAUUCCUAUAUAUAUAUAUAUUUAUUAUAUAUAACUCUUAUAGUCUAGAGGUCUA
rnacentral:tRNA from 1 species